rnacentral:misc_RNA from 1 species
UAGUGAACCACACGGUUCCCCCGCUCCUGUGAAACAAAUUGUUCUUUCCAUUCCACGAAACAGUGACCAAUUCCAGUCAUGUUGACAGAAAGCACCAAGAGGAAGCUUAUAAAACACCAGAAACCAGCUAAUAAUCCUAAUUACAUAGCCAAAUAUGCUCAAUGGUAAUGGCAAAGGGUUAAAAUCCCACUCUAUGGAUGCCUAAACAGUUAGAAUCGCACAAUUUUCAAACUAAGCUACAAUUUUGCA